CCGCCGCGCGCGGCGGGCCUACGGGAGGCAGCAGUGGGGAAUAUUGCACAAUGGGCGCAAGCCUGAUGCAGCCAUGCCGCGUGUAUGAAGAAGGCCUUCGGGUUGUAAAGUACUUUCAGCGGGGAGGAAGUGUUGAGGUUAAUAACCUCAGCGAUUGACGUUACCCGCAGAAGAAGCACCGGCUAACUCCGUGCCAGCAGCCGCGGUAAUA
rnacentral:rRNA from 1 species